rnacentral:rRNA from 1 species
GACGAACGCUGGCGGCGCGCUUAACACAUGCAAGUCGAACGGAAAGGCCCUGCUUUUGUGGGGUGCUCGAGUGGCGAACGGGUGAGUAACACGUGAGUAACCUGCCCUUGACUUUGGGAUAACUUCAGGAAACUGGGGCUAAUACCGGAUAGGAGCUCCUGCUGCAUGGUGGGGGUUGGAAAGUUUCGGCGGUUGGGGAUGGACUCGCGGCUUAUCGGCUUGUUGGUGGGGUAGUGGCUUACCAAGGCUUUGACGGGUAGCCGGCCUGAGAGGGUGACCGGCCACAUUGGGACUGAGAUACGGCCCAGACUCCUACGGGAGGCAGCAGUGGGGAAUAUUGCACAAUGGGCGGAAGCCUGAUGCAGCAACGCCGCGUGCGGGAUGACGGCCUUCGGGUUGUAAACCGCUUUCGCCUGUGACGAAGCGUGAGUGACGGUAAUGGGUAAAGAAGCACCGGCUAACUACGUG